rnacentral:ncRNA from 2 species
AGAUUGACGGCUGCAACGGAGUGCCACGCGCACGGGCUGACACCUG